rfam:Pichia farinosa complete mitochondrial genome, strain CBS7064
UGAGUCGUAGACUAAUCGGCAAGUCACCUAGAUUUGAGCUAGGUCUAUGUAUGUUCGAAUCAUGCCGACUCAG